rnacentral:rRNA from 1 species
UGCCAGACUCCUACGGGAGGCAGCAGUGGGGAAUAUUGCACAAUGGGGGAAACCCUGAUGCAGCGACGCCGCGUGAGCGAUGAAGUAUUUCGGUAUAUAAAGCUCUAUCAGCAGGGAAGAAGAUGACGGUACCUGACUAAGAAGCCCCGGCUAACUACGUGCCAGCAGCCGCGGUAAUACGUAGGGGGCAAGCGUUAUCCGGAUUUACUGGGUGUAAAGGGAGCGUAGACGGCGAUGCAAGCCAGAUGUGAAAGCCCGGGGCUCAACCCCGGGACUGCAUUUGGAACUGUGUGGCUGGAGUGUCGGAGAGGCAGGCGGAAUUCCUAGUGUAGCGGUGAAAUGCGUAGAUAUUAGGAGGAACACCAGUGGCGAAGGCGGCCUGCUGGACGAUGACUGACGUUGAGGCUCGAAAGCGUGGGGAGCAAACAGGAUUAGAUACCCUGGUAU